rnacentral:rRNA from 1 species
UACGUAGGGUGCAAGCGUUGUCCGGAAUUAUUGGGCGUAAAGAGCUCGUAGGCGGUUCGUCGCGUCGGCUGUGAAAACCUGAGGCUCAACCUCAGGCCUGCAGUCGAUACGGGCGGACUUGAGUACUGCAGGGGGAGACUGGAAUUCCCUGGUGUAGCGGUGAAAUGCGCAGAUAUCAGGAGGAACACCGGUGGCGAAGGCGGGUCUCUGGGCAGUAACUGACGCUGAGGAGCGAAAGCGUGGGGAGCGAACAGG